rnacentral:lncRNA from 1 species
AGACUGGAUGGGCUUUAAGAUCCCUUCCCACCCAACCCAUCCCAUGACUCUGUGUUUCUGUGACUCUGUGCCCAUCAGGGACAUGGAGUUGUGCUCCCUCAGGCCACGCAGCCAGUGGGGUCCUGCUCACCCUGUGUGUCCCCACGCUGUGGAUCCCGGGUGCCCUGGAGCCCGACAGCUGGAGGUGCAGGGGCUGGGGGUGUCCCUCACGGGGACACAGGGGUGCUCCAUGUGGGGACAGAGGGAGGUCACCACCUUCAGGCAGCCAUUGGUGACGGUGCCAGUCCGGUGGGUGCCAAUGUCACCAUGGCAACCAACGGCGGGCCCAGCGGGUCAUGGAGGAGCAGGGCAGGACAGGGCCUCGUGUCACCUUCUUCCCACCACCCCAGAGCCGGCGGUUCGAGGGGCCCCGAGCAGCCCUGGGGACUGGGACCUCGACCCGGACAGUGUCCUGCCCGGCUCCACUGUCCACGAGCAGCUGCUCCUGGAGGAGAAGGUAAAACAAUUUGAAGAGGCCAAAAAGAAGACUAAAAGUCUCCACAAACAGCUACAGCAGCAGUUUUUGAAAGACCAGGAGAGAAAGAUGGAGUGGAAAAAGAAAGCGGAGGAACAGUUUAAAAAAUCCCUGGAAGUGUUCGAUCGCAGGAGUGGGAAGGUGCCCGCCCGUCCCACCCGUCCUUCGGCGGCGGCUGAAGCGAAGCCCAAGAAACCAGCGGCUGCUGCCGACAAAAAAAAGAGCAAGAGACGCGUCUAGAGAGCUCCUCCUGCAGGCUGUGCCCCGCUCCGGCCACGGCUUCCAGCCCGCUGGAAUUUUAGGAAGCUAACGGUCCCGUUACAGCAAUAAAUCAGCACAAUCCCUCCCUCUGCCUGGUGUU